GACGAACGCUGGCGGCGUGCCUAAUACAUGCAAGUCGAACGCAGUGGGGACGGGUGAGUAACACGUGGGUAACCUCCCAUCAGAGGGGAUAACACUUUGAAAUAGGUGCUAAACCGAUACUGAUGGAUGGACCUGCUGUGCAUUAGCUAGUUUGUGAGUUAACGGCUUACCAAGGCCACGAUGCAUAGCAGGCCUGAGAGGGUGAUGGGCCACACUGGGAGUGAGACACGGCCCAGACUCCUACGGGAGGCAGCAGUAGGUAAUCUUCGGCAAUGGACGAAAGUCUGACCGAGCAGCGCCGCGUGAGUGAAGAAGGUUUUCGGAUCGUAAAACUCUGUUGUUAGAGAAGCGGUAGCUAACCAGGAAGCCACGGCUAACUACGUGCCAGCAGCCGCGGUAAUUC
rnacentral:rRNA from 1 species